GUGCUCUCUUCCACAGCACAUAUACUAAAAUUGGAACAAUACAGAGAAGAUCUGUAUGGUCCCUAUGCAAGGAUGACAUGCAAAUUCAUUUUGCAUUCCAUAUUUUU